UAUCAUUUUAAUAUAUAAUUAAACUACAAAUACUUAUUACCUUUUUAAUAAUUUUUUCUUUCUUCCACUGAUUCUCUUUCUUCCGCCGUAACUCAAAGAUGAGACAAUGAAGAAGAAGAAGAAGAAAAAGUUUCAUUUUCGUUCAUGAGCAGCAGCAGAGAGAUGUUACGCAGCGGCGGAGAGAUGUUACGCACCGCCGGAUGUGUGAUGACGAGAAUUAGAGUAACUAAUUUAAAGACGGACUGGGAGGAACAGACCCGGCGAGAUUGGCGUCGGAGAGCUCGACGGAAUUAAAGGAAGAGAAACCUCUUCACCGCUCGUAACGAUCAAGUGGACUUGAUGAAGCCGGGAACUACUGUGAAUCUCCGGAAUGCGAAGAUUGAUAUGUUCAAGGGAUCCAUGAGGUAAUGGCGGCGUAACAAUUUUUUGAGAAUUUGAUGAAUUCUUGGGUUAAAUUGAGCUUGAGGAUGUCUGUAAAAAGAAUCAUGUGGAUAUUUGUAAUUUGUGUACAUGUAUAUUUAGGCAAAUUAAUGUACAUGUGUACACUCAGAAGUUGUGUACACGACAAUGGUCGAAAAUAAGAUUACAUAUAGAUGGCUUUUCGUUUAUAUAUGUAAAAAUUCAAACAUAUUCAAUGUGUGUAGUACAUUAAUAAAUGUUAAUAUCCAUCGAAA